rnacentral:rRNA from 1 species
GACGAACGCUGGCGGCGUGCCUAAUACAUGCAAGUCGAGCGAGUCUGCCUUGAAUAUCGGAGUGCUUGCACUCUGUGAAACAAGAUACAGGCUAGCGGCGGACGGGUGAGUAACACGUGGGUAACCUGCCCAAGAGAUCGGGAUAACACCUGGAAACAGAUGCUAAUACCGGAUAACAACAGAUGAUGCCUAUCAACUGUUUAAAAGAUGGUUCUGCUAUCACUCUUGGAUGGACCUGCGGUGCAUUAGCUAGUUGGUAGGGUAACGGCCUACCAAGGCGAUGAUGCAUAGCCGAGUUGAGAGACUGAUCGGCCACAUUGGGACUGAGACACGGCCCACACUCCUACGGGAGGCAGCAGUAGGGAAUCUUCCACAAUGGACGCAAGUCUGAUGGAGCAACGCCGCGUGAGUGAAGAAGGGUUUCGGCUCGUAAAGCUCUGUUGUUGGUGAAGAAGGACAGGGGUAGUAACUGACCUUUGUUUGACGGUAAUCAAUUAGAAAGUCACGGCUAACUACGUG